rnacentral:lncRNA from 1 species
AUCAAUGAUGGAAACUCAAAGGUUAUGAAACUCCCAUGAGUUAUGGGGUGACUCUUAGGCUUUUGGUUCAUUAUGAGGGUGAGUUAAUGUGUCUCAUAAUGAGAGAGUUAGUGUGUGUCUAGGUUCAUUGUAUCUAGGAGCUUAUAAGUAGUGAGAUUUGGUUAAGACCAAAGACACAAGAGAGAGUGUGUGUAUGUGUGGGUUGUAAUCUCUUUUCUAAGUAGUGUAGUACUUAAUUUUUUGAGUGAACUUCUGCCUCUCUCUCUUUGUCAUUCCCUUUGCAUAUUUAGUCGUAGGACGCGAAGGUCCGGGCUAGCAAUAGGAACGAAGGCUUGCCCAUCUUCGAGCAGGAAGGUAGGCGCCGCACGGGCUUUGCGAACAGAAACGCUAAGGCCGUGACAGUUGGUAUCAGAGCCGGUUCGAGAAGGAACCAUGUCUUUGUUGGAAGCUGUCGUCGUUGACGUUGUGUCCGAGCGGAAGCGAACCGAGGGCGAUCGAGGUGAACCAUCAAAGGCGAGCAAGGCCAAAGGUGGGGGAGAGCACCGCGAUCCAUGGGACGCAAAAGGGUGCAACGAGAGUUCAACUCUGACAGCUCUGCAGCUUUGCGAGGAGGUGAAGCGCGGGAAGGCUGGGGACCUCGAGGAGGAGGACCUGAGCAGCGGCGAGACUAUCGAGUCUCAUGCAGCGCUGGAGCGGCCAGCGUCCAAGCAAAAUGCAAGUCAUUCUGCCAAGGAGCCUGCGAGGACCAAAAGGCGUUCUGCAGCUUGGCGGAGUACGCGUGCGUGUCGCGGAGGACAUGCACACUCGGGGCGUUCUGCAGCUUGGCAGAGUGCGCGUGCGUGUCGCGGAGGACAUGCACAUCCGGCGAACUCUUCACACAGCAGGCUCGCUGGUGCACUUGCUCAGAGUGGCAAGACACUAGGUGCUGGUGCGGGGAUAGAUGCGGACAUUGGGAGCAAGGCACGGGGCCGAUCGCGCACGAAGGCACGACUGACCACGCGGAAGGCUAUGCGGACUAGGAGCGACUCGGCGCGCGACGAGGGUGUCUGCGCGUUAGGUGGGGGAGAAUGUCACGGACAAAAUGUUUUCCGCUAACUUCUCCUUGACAGUGGCCCAACAUCGCUAGCGGAGCGGGUCGUUAAAGUGACCCGAACCCAACCCGCUAUGGAGAGAUGAGGGGUUUUGUAACCUCUCCCAUCAAUGAUGGAAACUCAAGGGUUAUGAAACUCCUAUGAGUUAUGGGGUGACUCUUAGGCUUUUGGCUCAUUAUGAGGGUGAGUUAAUGUUUCUCAUAAUGAGAGAGUUAGUGUGUAUCUAGGUUCAUUGUAUCUAGGAGCUUAUAAGUAGUGAGAUUUGGUUAAGACCAAAGACACAAGAGAGAGUGUGUGUAUGUGUGGGUUGUAAUCUCUUUUCUAAGUAGUGUAGUACUUAAUUUUUUGAGUGAACUUCUGCCUCUCUCUCUUUGUCAUUCCCUUUGCAUAUUUAGUCGUAGGACG